rnacentral:rRNA from 1 species
UACAGAGGUCUCAAGCGUUGUUCGGAUUCAUUGGGCGUAAAGGGCGCGUAGGCGGCACGGCAAGUCAGGAGUGAAAGCCCUGGGCUCAACCCGGGAACUGCUUUUGAAACUGCCGAGCUAGAGUGCGGAAGGGGCAACUGGAAUUCCCAGUGUAGCGGUGAAAUGCGUAGAUAUCUGGAGGAACACCGGUGGCGAAGGCGGCAUUCUGGACCGAUAUUGACGCUGAGGAGCGAAAGCCAGGGGAGCAAACGGG